rnacentral:rRNA from 1 species
AAUCAACGCUGGCGGCGUGCCUAACACAUGCAAGUCGAACGAAGUCUUCGGACUUAGUGGCGGACGGGUGAGUAACACGUGGGAACGUGCCUUUAGGUUCGGAAUAACUCAGGGAAACUUGUGCUAAUACCGAAUGUGCCCUUCGGGGGAAAGAUUUAUCGCCUUUAGAGCGGCCCGCGUCUGAUUAGCUAGUUGGUGAGGUAAUGGCUCACCAAGGCUACGAUCAGUAGCUGGUCUGAGAGGAUGACCAGCCACAUUGGGACUGAGACACGGCCCAAACUCCUACGGGAGGCAGCAGUGGGGAAUCUUGCGCAAUGGGCGAAAGCCUGACGCAGCCAUGCCGCGUGGAUGAUGAAGGUCUUAGGAUUGUAAAAUCCUUUCACCGGUGAAGAUAAUGACUGUAGCCGGAGAAGAAGCCCCGGCUAACUUCGUGCCAGCAGCCGCCGUAAAAC